GAACGCUACAGAGAUCGUUAUCAAAUGAGAAUCAACAGUGGCUUGGCUUUUCGGAGAUGGCAAGAACUGAGGGAUUUGAAAUGUAGUAAAAGCGACGCGGAGAUGGCGUUUUUAAUACUCAACAGAGCUUGACAGCCCCUGAUCACUUUCAUUGUGUGGAAAAGAGCAGCGUGAACAUCCUGUACAUCUCUGCUUGCAGUCUAGAGAAGAAAGAAAAUUGGGUUUGGAACAACAUGAAGGAUGUGCGUGCCAACUGACAUACUGGUGUGAUGUUGCACUAAUGAACAUGUCAGUCUGUCUUCCUGGCUCUUCUUGUCCCUCUGGGCUCAGGUCACCUCAGAAGUACGCACACACACGCGCACAUACACUUCUAUAUAUACCAUGGGCUUCACCCUAGCCCUGGCAGCUUUUGUGUGUCACCAUCUCAACGCACAAUCACAUCAGAUACACACUGACCCGCACACACGCACACACACAUUGAGAUGCAGGGGCUUUGUGCAGCCCUUCAACCGAGAGACCAGGAGUCUGCGAAGGGAAAAUAAAAGCAGGGUUAUCAUCUACAGCCGCAAAUGUGUCUGGUGUGAAGAGAAAGGCCAUUUUGAUUGCCCGUCCAAGAGAGUGAGUGCAAAAUAUUGUGUAUAAUAAUGUAUGGUAAUGCAGCUGUUUUUAUGGCCCCGUUUUGUCCCUAUCUGUCCCAUCUCAGCACUCCGAAAUGCUCCCAUUUACACUCAUCUCCACAAUUUAGAGAAUUCCUGCAAAGCCGGCACAAAAACGCGAGAUGAGAAAGGCUCCUUUCUUCUAUUCUCUCUCUCCAGAACAGUUUGUGUUUUUCAGCUCCACUGAACUUAAAGAAUUGCAGAGUUAACAUGGCUUCACCCCAGGCCCUAUUCUGCAGGAUGCUUUUACACUAGAUGCCAGUUUGAGAAGACCGCUGCAUGCCUAUUUCAAGGUAAUGGCGCUACGGUCCUCUAUCUCUACCCAUAUCGUGGAGGACACCAUUACCUCUGCGGUUCAUUUUUAAUAAACCUUAUUCUUUUCCGCAACAAUGUUUUAUCGGCCUCGUGUUAUGAGCUUGAUUCGUGCAGUUGUGAAAUAAGGUGCUAUUUUUGCAUGACCCUUAAAAAUAAUCGGUGUAACCUAAGUCAUAUUAAAUAAUAUUUUUGAUUUAAAUAUCAAAUCAGUUUAGAUGUUUUUUUUGUUUUGUUUUUUGCGGUGUACUCUUAUUUAGUUAUUUGGUAACACUUUACAACAAGGUUUCAUGUAUUGAGCUACAUUAAAGUAA